rnacentral:rRNA from 1 species
UACGUAGGGACCAAGCGUUGUUCGGAUUUACUGGGCGUAAAGGGCGCGUAGGCGGCGCGGUAAGUCACUUGUGAAAUCUCUGAGCUUAACUCAGAACGGCCAAGUGAUACUGCAGUGCUAGAGUGUGGAAGGGGCAAUCGGAAUUCUUGGUGUAGCGGUGAAAUGCGUAGAUAUCAAGAGGAACACCUGAGGUGAAGACGGGUUGCUGGGCCAACACUGACGCUGAUGCGCGAAAGCUAGGGGAGCAAACAGG